rnacentral:rRNA from 1 species
UGCAGCGACGCCGGGUGAGGGAUGACGGCCUUCGGGUUGUAAACCUCUUUCAGCAGGGAAGAAGCGAAAGUGACGGUACCUGCAGAAGAAGCGCCGGCUAACUACGUGCCAGCAGCCGCGGUAAUACGUAGGGCGCAAGCGUUGUCCGGAAUUAUUGGGCGUAAAGAGCUCGUAGGCGGUUUGUCGCGUCUGCUGUGAAAACUCGAGGCUCAACCUCGGGCCUGCAGUGGGUACGGGCAGACUAGAGUGCGGUAGGGGAGACUGGAAUUCCUGGUGUAGCGGUGGAAUGCGCAGAUAUCAGGAGGAACACCGAUGGCGAAGGCAGGUCUCUGGGCCGCAACUGACGCUGAGGAGCGAAAGCAUGGGGAGCG